CCACCAGAGGCUGGUUUGCAGGGGGACAAAAUGGACCAAUAUCCGUUUGGACAAAAGGCAUGAAGUUGAAGAUGAUUUUGACACUGGAAAGUUUGCCAGCCAGCAUUGUUAUAAGUUGCAGACAAUUUGAUGGUUGGGUGGGACUGACAGAGAGGCACUUGGGAGACAUGCACUUGUGCAUCUGACUGUUGAAACCGUUUGUGCCAAUGACCUCCUACUCCUUCCACAUGUGACGGGCUCGUCCGGGAUUUGAACCCGGGACCUCUCGCACCCUAAGCGAGAAUCAUACCCCUAGACCAACGAGCCACAAUCUCUCGCAACAAAGACAACUCUAGCAGAGUUCCAUUUGAUCCAAAAUCCUCACGCAGACCCCUAGCUUUCACUUUCAAAGUCUUGGCUUACUGAAAUGCAAACUGAAAGGGUUCACACACAGCUGCAAAUGAGAAAAAGGAGGCUUGGAUCUGCACUAAAUCAUCAAAGUGGAUGCACACAGCUACAGGCUAAGAGCCCGUUGCUUAAGCCAAGAGCAACAUUUGACCCGUUUUGGUACCCAGACAUGUCCUCUAUCACAUCCAUGGCAUCGUCACACUUGGACCUUUGUGAGAGGAUCGUUCUUUAACGACCCCUUGGCUGGGAUCAUUUGGAUCGUUAGGAUAUAUGCCAAGACAAACAAUAGCACUCUGAUGCUACGACAAGUGUGAAGCGAUCGUCUGGGAGAAGUGGUUGCAGCUCUACUCAUAUUGAAAGCAGGUGCCUUUGCUUUGCAACAUGACGCCACUGUACCUUGUCCAGGCAUUUGACUACCUUAAUUCUAAGGGUUUUGUCCAUCUUUCAGCACCAGGUGGGUUGACCCUUUCUUCCAAUCCAAGGAAUGAUGUUUUACAAAGUUUGUCUUUUAACGUUGGAUCAGGUCAUGACACUGUGCAUUUUCAAAUCUCAGUCUAAAGUAUGUAGCCUCUUAACAUGGUGGAUGUCAGGGUAUUAAGUGAAUAGAGAGGGCUCGUCCGGGAUUUGAACCCGGGACCUCUCGCACCCAAAGCGAGAAUCAUACCCCUAGACCAACGAGCCACAAUCUGGGCUGAGAAAAUGAUGGAGCAACUCUGGGGGUGGAAUGAAAACAGCUCCUCAGUCCUCUAAAUCAACGCAAAAGACUUUUGCGCGCUCAACUGCUCAUUAUGCACUUCCAACGCUACAACUGUAUGAAAUGUGUCCGUAAUUUGCGUAUCUGGUCUAAGAUCAUGCAUUCGUCCUGCUUUUUGCCUGAAAAGGUGCUCACAGCAUGCUGAUCAGGACAGAUAUUUGCCAGAAAAUGAUUGUGUUUUCCAGAGAAACAUAUUUCAUGAAGACCCUGUAGAGGCCUUCAUUUUUGUGCCCCACAUGAUAAAUGUACACAGACAAAGAUUUAAGUCCCAUUUCAACAGGUGGGGGCUCGUCCGGGAUUUGAACCCGGGACCUCUCACACCCGAAGCAAGAAUCAUGCCCCUAGACCAACGAGCCACCAGAGGCUGGUUUGCAGGGGGACAAAAUGGACCAAUAUCCGUUUGGACAAAAGGCAUGAAGUUGAAGAUGAUUUUGACACUGGAAAGUUUGCCAGCCAGCAUUGUUAUAAGUUGCAGACAAUUUGAUGGUUGAGUGGGACUGACAGAGAGGCACUUGGGAGACAUGCACUUGUGCAUCUGACUGUUGAAACCGUUUGUGCCAAUGACCUCCUACUCCUUCCACAUGUGACGGGCUCGUCCGGGAUUUGAACCCGGGACCUCUCGCACCCUAAGCGAGAAUCAUACCCCUAGACCAACGAGCCACAAUCUCUCGCAACAAAGACAACUCUAGCAGAGUUCCAUUUGAUCCAAAAUCCUCACGCAGACCCCUAGCUUUCACUUUCAGAGUCUUGGCUUACUGAAAUGCAAACUGAAAGGGUUCACACACAGCUGCAAAUGAGAAAAAGGAGGCUUGGAUCUGCACUAAAUCAUCAAAGUGGAUGCACACAGCUACAGGCUAAGAGCCCGUUGCUUAAGCCAAGAGCAACAUUUGACCCAUUUUGGUACCCAGACAUGUCCUCUAUCACAUCCAUGGCAUCGUCACACUUGGACCUUUGUGAGAGGAUCGUUCUUUAACGACCCCUUGGCUGGGAUCAUUUGGAUCGUUAGGAUAUAUGCCAAGACAAACAAUAGCACUCUGAUGCUACGACAAGUGUGAAGCGAUCGUCUGGGAGAAGUGGUUGCAGCUCUACUCAUAUUGAAAGCAGGUGCCUUUGCUUUGCAACAUGACGCCACUGUACCUUGUCCAGGCAUUUGACUACCUUAAUUCUGAGAGUUUUGUCCAUCUUUCAGCAUCAGGUGGGUUGACCCUUUCUUCCAAUCCAAGGAAUGAUGUUUUACAAAGUUUGUCUUGUAACGUUGGAUCAGGUCAUGACACUGUGCAUUUUCAAAUCUCAGUCUAAAGUAUGUAGCCUCUUAACAUGGUGGAUGUCAGGGUAUUAAGUGAACAGAGUGGGCUCGUCCGGGAUUUGAACCCGGGACCUCUCGCACCCAAAGCGAGAAUCAUACCCCUAGACCAACGAGCCACAAUCUGGGCUGAGAAAAUGAUGGAGCAACUCUGGGGGUGGAAUGAAAACAGCUCCUCAGUCCUCUAAAUCAACGCAAAAGACUUUUGCGCGCUCAACUGCUCAUUAUGCACUUCCAACGCUACAACUGUAUGAAAUGUGUCCGUAAUUUGCGUAUCUGGUCUAAGAUCAUGCAUUCGUCCUGCUUUUUGCCUGAAAAGGUGCUCACAGCAUGCUGAUCAGGACAGAUAUUUGCCAGAAAAUGAUUGUGUUUUCCAGAGAAACAUAUUUCAUGGAGACCCUGUAGAGGCCUUCAUUUAUGUGCCCCACAUGAUAAAUGUACACAGACAAAGAUUUAAGUCCCAUUUCAACAGAUGGGGGCUCGUCCGGGAUUUGAACCCGGGACCUCUCACACCCGAAGCAAGAAUCAUGCCCCUAGACCAACGAGCCACCAGAGGCUGGUUUGCAGGGGGACAAAAUGGACCAAUAUCCGUUUGGACAAAAGGCAUGAAGUUGAAGAUGAUUUUGACACUGGAAAGUUUGACAGCCAGCAUUGUUAUAAGUUGCAGACAAUUUUAUAUUUGGGUGGGACUGACAGAGAGGCACUUGGGAGACACGCACUUGUGCAUCUGACUGUUGAAACCGUUUGUGCCAAUGACCUCCUACUCCUUCCACAUGUGACGGGCUCGUCCGGGAUUUGAACCCGGGACCUCUCGCACCCUAAGCGAGAAUCAUACCCCUAGACCAACGAGCCACAAUCUCUCGCAACAAAGACAACUCUAGCAGAGUUCCAUUUGAUCCAAAAUCCUCACGCAGACCCCUAGCUUUCACUUUCAAAGUCUUGGCUUACUGAAAUGCAAACUGAAAGGGUUCACACACAGCUGCAAAUGAGAAAAAGGAGGCUUGGAUCUGCACUAAAUCAUCAAAGUGGAUGCACACAGCUACAGGCUAAGAGCCCGUUGCUUAAGCCAAGAGCAACAUUUGACCCGUUUUGGUACCCAGACAUGUCCUCUAUCACAUCCAUGGCAUCGUCACACUUGGACCUUUGUGAGAGGAUCGUUCUUUAACGACCCAUUGGCUGGAAUCAUUUGGAUCGUUAGGAUAUAUGCCAAGACAAACAAUAGCACUCUGAUGCUACGACAAGUGUGAAGCGAUCGUCUGGGAGAAGUGGUUGCAGCUCUACUCAUAUUGAAAGCAGGUGCCUUUGCUUUGCAACAUGACGCCACUGUACCUUGUCCAGGCAUUUGACUACCUUAAUUCUGAGAGUUUUGUCCAUCUUUCAGCACCAGGUGGGUUGACCCUUUUUUCCAAUCCAAGGAAUGAUGUUUUACAAAGUUUGACUUGUAACGUUGGAUCAGGUCAUGACACUGUGCAUUUUCAAAUCUCAGUCUAAAGUAUGUAGCCUCUUAACAUGGUGGAUGUCAGGGUAUUAAGUGAACAGAGUGGGCUCGUCCGGGAUUUGAACCCGGGACCUCUCGCACCCAAAGCAAGAAUCAUACCCCUAGACCAACGAGCCACAAUCUGGGCUGAGAAAAUGAUGGAGCAACUCUGGGGGUGGAAUGAAAACAGCUCCUCAGUCCUCUAAAUCAAAGCAAAAGACUUUUGCGCGCUCAACUGCUCAUUAUGCACUUCCAACGCUACAACUGUAUGAAAUGUGUCCGUAAUUUGCGUAUCUGGUCUAAGAUCAUGCAUUCGUCCUGCUUUUUGCCUGAAAAGGUGCUCACAGCAUGCUGAUCAGGACAGAUAUUUGCCAGAAAAUGAUUGUGUUUUCCAGAGAAACAUAUUUCAUGGAGACCCUGUAGAGGCCUUCAUUUUUGUGCCCCACAUGAUAAAUGUACACAGACAAAGAUUUAAGUCCCAUUUCAACAGGUGGGGGCUCGUCCGGGAUUUGAACCCGGGACCUCUCACACCCGAAGCAAGAAUCAUGCCCCUAGACCAACGAGCCACCAGAGGCUGGUUUGCAGGGGGACAAAAUGGACCAAUAUCCGUUUGGACAAAAGGCAUGAAGUUGAAGAUGAUUUUGACACUGGAAAGUUUGCCAGCCAGCAUUGUUAUAAGUUGCAGACAAUUUGAUGGUUGGGUGGGACUGACAGAGAGGCACUUGGGAGACAUGCACUUGUGCAUCUGACUGUUGAAACCGUUUGUGCCAAUGACCUCCUACUCCUUCCACAUGUGACGGGCUCGUCCGGGAUUUGAACCCGGGACCUCUCGCACCCUAAGCGAGAAUCAUACCCCUAGACCAACGAGCCACAAUCUCUCGCAACAAAGACAACUCUAGCAGAGUUCCAUUUGAUCCAAAAUCCUCACGCAGACCCCUAGCUUUCACUUUCAAAGUCUUGGCUUACUGAAAUGCAAACUGAAAGGGUUCACACACAGCUGCAAAUGAGAAAAAGGAGGCUUGGAUCUGCACUAAAUCAUCAAAGUGGAUGCACACAGCUACAGGCUAAGAGCCCGUUGCUUAAGCCAAGAGCAACAUUUGACCCGUUUUGGUACCCAGACAUGUCCUCUAUCACAUCCAUGGCAUCGUCACACUUGGACCUUUGUGAGAGGAUCGUUCUUUAACGACCCAUUGGCUGGAAUCAUUUGGAUCGUUAGGAUAUAUGCCAAGACAAACAAUAGCACUCUGAUGCUACGACAAGUGUGAAGCGAUCGUCUGGGAGAAGUGGUUGCAGCUCUACUCAUAUUGAAAGCAGGUGCCUUUGCUUUGCAACAUGACGCCACUGUACCUUGUCCAGGCAUUUGACUACCUUAAUUCUGAGAGUUUUGUCCAUCUUUCAGCACCAGGUGGGUUGACCCUUUCUUCCAAUCCAAGGAAUGAUGUUUUACAAAGUUUGUCUUGUAACGUUGGAUCAGGUCAUGACAAUGUGCAUUUUCAAAUCUCAGUCUAAAGUAUGUAGCCUCUUAACAUGGUGGAUGUCAGGGUAUUAAGUGAAUAGAGAGGGCUCGUCCGGGAUUUAAACCCGGGACCUCUCGCACCCAAAGCGAGAAUCAUACCCCUAGACCAACGAGCCAGAAUCUGCGCUGAGAAAAUGAUGGAGCAACUCUGGGGGUGGAAUGAAAACAGCUCCUCAGUCCUCUAAAUCAACGCAAAAGACUUUUGCGCGCUCAACUGCUCAUUAUGCACUUCCAACGCUACAACUGUAUGAAAUGUGUCCGUAAUUUGCGUAUCUGGUCUAAGAUCAUGCAUUCGUCCUGCUUUUUGCCUGAAAAGGUGCUCACAGCAUGCUGAUCAGGACAGAUAUUUGCCAGAAAAUGAUUGUGUUUUCCAGAGAAACAUAUUUCAUGAAGACCCUGUAGAGGCCUUCAUUUUUGUGCCCCACAUGAUAAAUGUACACAGACAAAGAUUUAAGUCCCAUUUCAACAGGUGGGGGCUCGUCCGGGAUUUGAACCCGGGACCUCUCACACCCGAAGCAAGAAUCAUGCCCCUAGACCAACGAGCCACCAGAGGCUGGUUUGCAGGGGGACAAAAUGGACCAAUAUCCGUUUGGACAAAAGGCAUGAAGUUGAAGAUGAUUUUGACACUGGAAAGUUUGCCAGCCAGCAUUGUUAUAAGUUGCAGACAAUUUGAUGGUUGAGUGGGACUGACAGAGAGGCACUUGGGAGACAUGCACUUGUGCAUCUGACUGUUGAAACCGUUUGUGCCAAUGACCUCCUACUCCUUCCACAUGUGACGGGCUCGUCCGGGAUUUGAACCCGGGACCUCUCGCACCCUAAGCGAGAAUCAUACCCCUAGACCAACGAGCCAGAAUCUGCGCUGAGAAAAUGAUGGAGCAACUCUGGGGGUGGAAUGAAAACAGCUCCUCAGUCCUCUAAAUCAAGCAAAGAUUUGUCCAAAACAAAGACUUUUGCGCGCUCAACUGCUCAUUAUGCACUUCCAACGCUACAACUGUAUGAAAUGUGUCCGUAAUUUGCGUAUCUGGUCUAAGAUCAUGCAUUCGUCCUGCUUUUUGCCUGAAAAGGUGCUCACAGCAUGCUGAUCAGGACAGAUAUUUGCCAGAAAAUGAUUGUGUUUUCCAGAGAAACAUAUUUCAUGAAGACCCUGUAGAGGCCUUCAUUUUUGUGCCCCACAUGAUAAAUGUACACAGACAAAGAUUUAAGUCCCAUUUCAACAGGUGGGGGCUCGUCCGGGAUUUGAACCCGGGACCUCUCACACCCGAAGCAAGAAUCAUGCCCCUAGACCAACGAGCCACCAGAGGCUGGUUUGCAGGGGGACAAAAUGGACCAAUAUCCGUUUGGACAAAAGGCAUGAAGUUGAAGAUGAUUUUGACACUGGAAAGUUUGCCAGCCAGCAUUGUUAUAAGUUGCAGACAAUUUGAUGGUUGAGUGGGACUGACAGAGAGGCACUUGGGAGACAUGCACUUGUGCAUCUGACUGUUGAAACCGUUUGUGCCAAUGACCUCCUACUCCUUCCACAUGUGACGGGCUCGUCCGGGAUUUGAACCCGGGACCUCUCGCACCCUAAGCGAGAAUCAUACCCCUAGACCAACGAGCCACAAUCUCUCGCAACAAAGACAACUCUAGCAGAGUUCCAUUUGAUCCAAAAUCCUCACGCAGACCCCUAGCUUUCACUUUCAAAGUCUUGGCUUACUGAAAUGCAAACUGAAAGGGUUCACACACAGCUGCAAAUGAGAAAAAGGAGGCUUGGAUCUGCACUAAAUCAUCAAAGUGGAUGCACACAGCUACAGGCUAAGAGCCCGUUGCUUAAGCCAAGAGCAACAUUUGACCCGUUUUGGUACCCAGACAUGUCCUCUAUCACAUCCAUGGCAUCGUCACACUUGGACCUUUGUGAGAGGAUCGUUCUUUAACGACCCAUUGGCUGGAAUCAUUUGGAUCGUUAGGAUAUAUGCCAAGACAAACAAUAGCACUCUGAUGCUACGACAAGUGUGAAGCGAUCGUCUGGGAGAAGUGGUUGCAGCUCUACUCAUAUUGAAAGCAGGUGCCUUUGCUUUGCAACAUGACGCCACUGUACCUUGUCCAGGCAUUUGACUACCUUAAUUCUGAGAGUUUUGUCCAUCUUUCAGCACCAGGUGGGUUGACCCUUUCUUCCAAUCCAAGGAAUGAUGUUUUACAAAGUUUGUCUUGUAACGUUGGAUCAGGUCAUGACAAUGUGCAUUUUCAAAUCUCAGUCUAAAGUAUGUAGCCUCUUAACAUGGUGGAUGUCAGGGUAUUAAGUGAAUAGAGAGGGCUCGUCCGGGAUUUAAACCCGGGACCUCUCGCACCCAAAGCGAGAAUCAUACCCCUAGACCAACGAGCCAGAAUCUGCGCUGAGAAAAUGAUGGAGCAACUCUGGGGGUGGAAUGAAAACAGCUCCUCAGUCCUCUAAAUCAACGCAAAAGACUUUUGCGCGCUCAACUGCUCAUUAUGCACUUCCAACGCUACAACUGUAUGAAAUGUGUCCGUAAUUUGCGUAUCUGGUCUAAGAUCAUGCAUUCGUCCUGCUUUUUGCCUGAAAAGGUGCUCACAGCAUGCUGAUCAGGACAGAUAUUUGCCAGAAAAUGAUUGUGUUUUCCAGAGAAACAUAUUUCAUGAAGACCCUGUAGAGGCCUUCAUUUUUGUGCCCCACAUGAUAAAUGUACACAGACAAAGAUUUAAGUCCCAUUUCAACAGGUGGGGGCUCGUCCGGGAUUUGAACCCGGGACCUCUCACACCCGAAGCAAGAAUCAUGCCCCUAGACCAACGAGCCACCAGAGGCUGGUUUGCAGGGGGACAAAAUGGACCAAUAUCCGUUUGGACAAAAGGCAUGAAGUUGAAGAUGAUUUUGACACUGGAAAGUUUGCCAGCCAGCAUUGUUAUAAGUUGCAGACAAUUUGAUGGUUGAGUGGGACUGACAGAGAGGCACUUGGGAGACAUGCACUUGUGCAUCUGACUGUUGAAACCGUUUGUGCCAAUGACCUCCUACUCCUUCCACAUGUGACGGGCUCGUCCGGGAUUUGAACCCGGGACCUCUCGCACCCUAAGCGAGAAUCAUACCCCUAGACCAACGAGCCACAAUCUCUCGCAACAAAGACAACUCUAGCAGAGUUCCAUUUGAUCCAAAAUCCUCACGCAGACCCCUAGCUUUCACUUUCAAAGUCUUGGCUUACUGAAAUGCAAACUGAAAGGGUUCACACACAGCUGCAAAUGAGAAAAAGGAGGCUUGGAUCUGCACUAAAUCAUCAAAGUGGAUGCACACAGCUACAGGCUAAGAGCCCGUUGCUUAAGCCAAGAGCAACAUUUGACCCGUUUUGGUACCCAGACAUGUCCUCUAUCACAUCCAUGGCAUCGUCACACUUGGACCUUUGUGAGAGGAUCGUUCUUUAACGACCCAUUGGCUGGGAUCAUUUGGAUCGUUAGGAUAUAUGCCAAGACAAACAAUAGCACUCUGAUGCUACGACAAGUGUGAAGCGAUCGUCUGGGAGAAGUGGUUGCAGCUCUACUCAUAUUGAAAGCAGGUGCCUUUGCUUUGCAACAUGACGCCACUGUACCUUGUCCAGGCAUUUGACUACCUUAAUUCUGAGAGUUUUGUCCAUCUUUCAGCACCAGGUGGGUUGACCCUUUUUUCCAAUCCAAGGAAUGAUGUUUUACAAAGUUUGUCUUGUAACGUUGGAUCAGGUCAUGACAAUGUGCAUUUUCAAAUCUCAGUCUAAAGUAUGUAGCCUCUUAACAUGGUGGAUGUCAGGGUAUUAAGUGAACAGAGUGGGCUCGUCCGGGAUUUGAACCCGGGACCUCUCGCACCCAAAGCGAGAAUCAUACCCCUAGACCAACGAGCCAGAAUCUGGGCUGAGAAAAUGAUGGAGCAACUCUGGGGGUGGAAUGAAAACAGCUCCUCAGUCCUCUAAAUCAACGCAAAAGACUUUUGCGCGCUCAACUGCUCAUUAUGCACUUCCAACGCUACAACUGUAUGAAAUGUGUCCGUAAUUUGCGUAUCUGGUCUAAGAUCAUGCAUUCGUCCUGCUUUUUGCCUGAAAAGGUGCUCACAGCAUGCUGAUCAGGACAGAUAUUUGCCAGAAAAUGAUUGUGUUUUCCAGAGAAACAUAUUUCAUGAAGACCCUUUAGAGGCCUUCAUUUUUGUGCCCCACAUGAUAAAUGUACACAGACAAAGAUUUAAGUCCCAUUUCAACAGGUGGGGGCUCGUCCGGGAUUUGAACCCGGGACCUCUCACACCCGAAGCAAGAAUCAUGCCCCUAGACCAACGAGCCACCAGAGGCUGGUUUGCAGGGGGACAAAAUGGACCAAUAUCCGUUUGGACAAAAGGCAUGAAGUUGAAGAUGAUUUUGACAAUGGAAAGUUUGCCAGCCAGCAUUGUUAUAAGUUGCAGACAAUUUGAUGGUUGAGUGGGACUGACAGAGAGGCACUUGGGAGACAUGCACUUGUGCAUCUGACUGUUGAAACCGUUUGUGCCAAUGACCUCCUACUCCUUCCACAUGUGACGGGCUCGUCCGGGAUUUGAACCCGGGACCUCUCGCACCCUAAGCGAGAAUCAUACCCCUAGACCAACGAGCCACAAUCUCUCGCAACAAAGACAACUCUAGCAGAGUUCCAUUUGAUCCAAAAUCCUCACGCAGACCCCUAGCUUUCACUUUCAAAGUCUUGGCUUACUGAAAUGCAAACUGAAAGGGUUCACACACAGCUGCAAAUGAGAAAAAGGAGGCUUGGAUCUGCACUAAAUCAUCAAAGUGGAUGCACACAGCUACAGGCUAAGAGCCCGUUGCUUAAGCCAAGAGCAACAUUUGACCCGUUUUGGUACCCAGACAUGUCCUCUAUCACAUCCAUGGCAUCGUCACACUUGGACCUUUGUGAGAGGAUCGUUCUUUAACGACCCAUUGGCUGGGAUCAUUUGGAUCGUUAGGAUAUAUGCCAAGACAAACAAUAGCACUCUGAUGCUACGACAAGUGUGAAGCGAUCGUCUGGGAGAAGUGGUUGCAGCUCUACUCAUAUUGAAAGCAGGUGCCUUUGCUUUGCAACAUGACGCCACUGUACCUUGUCCAGGCAUUUGACUACCUUAAUUCUGAGAGUUUUGUCCAUCUUUCAGCACCAGGUGGGUUGACCCUUUUUUCCAAUCCAAGGAAUGAUGUUUUACAAAGUUUGUCUUGUAACGUUGGAUCAGGUCAUGACAAUGUGCAUUUUCAAAUCUCAGUCUAAAGUAUGUAGCCUCUUAACAUGGUGGAUGUCAGGGUAUUAAGUGAACAGAGUGGGCUCGUCCGGGAUUUGAACCCGGGACCUCUCGCACCCAAAGCGAGAAUCAUACCCCUAGACCAACGAGCCAGAAUCUGGGCUGAGAAAAUGAUGGAGCAACUCUGGGGGUGGAAUGAAAACAGCUCCUCAGUCCUCUAAAUCAACGCAAAAGACUUUUGCGCGCUCAACUGCUCAUUAUGCACUUCCAACGCUACAACUGUAUGAAAUGUGUCCGUAAUUUGCGUAUCUGGUCUAAGAUCAUGCAUUCGUCCUGCUUUUUGCCUGAAAAGGUGCUCACAGCAUGCUGAUCAGGACAGAUAUUUGCCAGAAAAUGAUUGUGUUUUCCAGAGAAACAUAUUUCAUGAAGACCCUUUAGAGGCCUUCAUUUUUGUGCCCCACAUGAUAAAUGUACACAGACAAAGAUUUAAGUCCCAUUUCAACAGGUGGGGGCUCGUCCGGGAUUUGAACCCGGGACCUCUCACACCCGAAGCAAGAAUCAUGCCCCUAGACCAACGGGCCAGCCACCAGAGGCUGGUUUGCAGGGGGACAAAAUGGACCAAUAUCCGUUUGGACAAAAGGCAUGAAGUUGAAGAUGAUUUUGACAAUGGAAAGUUUGCCAGCCAGCAUUGUUAUAAGUUGCAGACAAUUUGAUGGUUGAGUGGGACUGACAGAGAGGCACUUGGGAGACAUGCACUUGUGCAUCUGACUGUUGAAACCGUUUGUGCCAAUGACCUCCUACUCCUUCCACAUGUGACGGGCUCGUCCGGGAUUUGAACCCGGGACCUCUCGCACCCUAAGCGAGAAUCAUACCCCUAGACCAACGAGCCACAAUCUCUCGCAACAAAGACAACUCUAGCAGAGUUCCAUUUGAUCCAAAAUCCUCACGCAGACCCCUAGCUUUCACUUUCAAAGUCUUGGCUUACUGAAAUGCAAACUGAAAGGGUUCACACACAGCUGCAAAUGAGAAAAAGGAGGCUUGGAUCUGCACUAAAUCAUCAAAGUGGAUGCACACAGCUACAGGCUAAGAGCCCGUUGCUUAAGCCAAGAGCAACAUUUGACCCGUUUUGGUACCCAGACAUGUCCUCUAUCACAUCCAUGGCAUCGUCACACUUGGACCUUUGUGAGAGGAUCGUUCUUUAACGACCCAUUGGCUGGGAUCAUUUGGAUCGUUAGGAUAUAUGCCAAGACAAACAAUAGCACUCUGAUGCUACGACAAGUGUGAAGCGAUCGUCUGGGAGAAGUGGUUGCAGCUCUACUCAUAUUGAAAGCAGGUGCCUUUGCUUUGCAACAUGACGCCACUGUACCUUGUCCAGGCAUUUGACUACCUUAAUUCUGAGAGUUUUGUCCAUCUUUCAGCACCAGGUGGGUUGACCCUUUUUUCCAAUCCAAGGAAUGAUGUUUUACAAAGUUUGUCUUGUAACGUUGGAUCAGGUCAUGACAAUGUGCAUUUUCAAAUCUCAGUCUAAAGUAUGUAGCCUCUUAACAUGGUGGAUGUCAGGGUAUUAAGUGAACAGAGUGGGCUCGUCCGGGAUUUGAACCCGGGACCUCUCGCACCCAAAGCGAGAAUCAUACCCCUAGACCAACGAGCCAGAAUCUGGGCUGAGAAAAUGAUGGAGCAACUCUGGGGGUGGAAUGAAAACAGCUCCUCAGUCCUCUAAAUCAACGCAAAAGACUUUUGCGCGCUCAACUGCUCAUUAUGCACUUCCAACGCUACAACUGUAUGAAAUGUGUCCGUAAUUUGCGUAUCUGGUCUAAGAUCAUGCAUUCGUCCUGCUUUUUGCCUGAAAAGGUGCUCACAGCAUGCUGAUCAGGACAGAUAUUUGCCAGAAAAUGAUUGUGUUUUCCAGAGAAACAUAUUUCAUGAAGACCCUUUAGAGGCCUUCAUUUUUGUGCCCCACAUGAUAAAUGUACACAGACAAAGAUUUAAGUCCCAUUUCAACAGGUGGGGGCUCGUCCGGGAUUUGAACCCGGGACCUCUCACACCCGAAGCAAGAAUCAUGCCCCUAGACCAACGAGCCACCAGAGGCUGGUUUGCAGGGGGACAAAAUGGACCAAUAUCCGUUUGGACAAAAGGCAUGAAGUUGAAGAUGAUUUUGACAAUGGAAAGUUUGCCAGCCAGCAUUGUUAUAAGUUGCAGACAAUUUGAUGGUUGAGUGGGACUGACAGAGAGGCACUUGGGAGACAUGCACUUGUGCAUCUGACUGUUGAAACCGUUUGUGCCAAUGACCUCCUACUCCUUCCACAUGUGACGGGCUCGUCCGGGAUUUGAACCCGGGACCUCUCGCACCCUAAGCGAGAAUCAUACCCCUAGACCAACGAGCCACAAUCUCUCGCAACAAAGACAACUCUAGCAGAGUUCCAUUUGAUCCAAAAUCCUCACGCAGACCCCUAGCUUUCACUUUCAAAGUCUUGGCUUACUGAAAUGCAAACUGAAAGGGUUCACACACAGCUGCAAAUGAGAAAAAGGAGGCUUGGAUCUGCACUAAAUCAUCAAAGUGGAUGCACACAGCUACAGGCUAAGAGCCCGUUGCUUAAGCCAAGAGCAACAUUUGACCCGUUUUGGUACCCAGACAUGUCCUCUAUCACAUCCAUGGCAUCGUCACACUUGGACCUUUGUGAGAGGAUCGUUCUUUAACGACCCAUUGGCUGGAAUCAUUUGGAUCGUUAGGAUAUAUGCCAAGACAAACAAUAGCACUCUGAUGCUACGACAAGUGUGAAGCGAUCGUCUGGGAGAAGUGGUUGCAGCUCUACUCAUAUUGAAAGCAGGUGCCUUUGCUUUGCAACAUGACGCCACUGUACCUUGUCCAGGCAUUUGACUACCUUAAUUCUGAGAGUUUUGUCCAUCUUUCAGCACCAGGUGGGUUGACCCUUUCUUCCAAUCCAAGGAAUGAUGUUUUACAAAGUUUGUCUUGUAACGUUGGAUCAGGUCAUGACAAUGUGCAUUUUCAAAUCUCAGUCUAAAGUAUGUAGCCUCUUAACAUGGUGGAUGUCAGGGUAUUAAGUGAAUAGAGAGGGCUCGUCCGGGAUUUAAACCCGGGACCUCUCGCACCCAAAGCGAGAAUCAUACCCCUAGACCAACGAGCCAGAAUCUGCGCUGAGAAAAUGAUGGAGCAACUCUGGGGGUGGAAUGAAAACAGCUCCUCAGUCCUCUAAAUCAACGCAAAAGACUUUUGCGCGCUCAACUGCUCAUUAUGCACUUCCAACGCUACAACUGUAUGAAAUGUGUCCGUAAUUUGCGUAUCUGGUCUAAGAUCAUGCAUUCGUCCUGCUUUUUGCCUGAAAAGGUGCUCACAGCAUGCUGAUCAGGACAGAUAUUUGCCAGAAAAUGAUUGUGUUUUCCAGAGAAACAUAUUUCAUGAAGACCCUGUAGAGGCCUUCAUUUUUGUGCCCCACAUGAUAAAUGUACACAGACAAAGAUUUAAGUCCCAUUUCAACAGGUGGGGGCUCGUCCGGGAUUUGAACCCGGGACCUCUCACACCCUAAGCUAGAAUCAUUCCCCUAGACCAACGAGCCACCAGAGGCUGGUUUGCAGGGGGACAAAAUGGACCAAUAUCCGUUUGGACAAAAGGCAUGAAGUUGAAGAUGAUUUUGACACUGGAAAGUUUGCCAGCCAGCAUUGUUAUAAGUUGCAGACAAUUUGAUGGUUGAGUGGGACUGACAGAGAGGCACUUGGGAGACAUGCACUUGUGCAUCUGACUGUUGAAACCGUUUGUGCCAAUGACCUCCUACUCCUUCCACAUGUGACGGGCUCGUCCGGGAUUUGAACCCGGGACCUCUCGCACCCUAAGCGAGAAUCAUACCCCUAGACCAACGAGCCACAAUCUCUCGCAACAAAGACAACUCUAGCAGAGUUCCAUUUGAUCCAAAAUCCUCACGCAGACCCCUAGCUUUCACUUUCAAAGUCUUGGCUUACUGAAAUGCAAACUGAAAGGGUUCACACACAGCUGCAAAUGAGAAAAAGGAGGCUUGGAUCUGCACUAAAUCAUCAAAGUGGAUGCACACAGCUACAGGCUAAGAGCCCGUUGCUUAAGCCAAGAGCAACAUUUGACCCGUUUUGGUACCCAGACAUGUCCUCUAUCACAUCCAUGGCAUCGUCACACUUGGACCUUUGUGAGAGGUUCGUUCUUUAACGACCCAUUGGCUGGGAUCAUUUGGAUCGUUAGGAUAUAUGCCAAGACAAACAAUAGCACUCUGAUGCUACGACAAGUGUGAAGCGAUCGUCUGGGAGAAGUGGUUGCAGCUCUACUCAUAUUGAAAGCAGGUGCCUUUGCUUUGCAACAUGACGCCACUGUACCUUGUCCAGGCAUUUGACUACCUUAAUUCUGAGAGUUUUGUCCAUCUUUCAGCACCAGGUGGGUUGACCCUUUUUUCCAAUCCAAGGAAUGAUGUUUUACAAAGUUUGUCUUGUAACGUUGGAUCAGGUCAUGACAAUGUGCAUUUUCAAAUCUCAGUCUAAAGUAUGUAGCCUCUUAACAUGGUGGAUGUCAGGGUAUUAAGUGAACAGAGUGGGCUCGUCCGGGAUUUGAACCCGGGACCUCUCGCACCCAAAGCGAGAAUCAUACCCCUAGACCAACGAGCCAGAAUCUGGGCUGAGAAAAUGAUGGAGCAACUCUGGGGGUGGAAUGAAAACAGCUCCUCAGUCCUCUAAAUCAACGCAAAAGACUUUUGCGCGCUCAACUGCUCAUUAUGCACUUCCAACGCUACAACUGUAUGAAAUGUGUCCGUAAUUUGCGUAUCUGGUCUAAGAUCAUGCAUUCGUCCUGCUUUUUGCCUGAAAAGGUGCUCACAGCAUGCUGAUCAGGACAGAUAUUUGCCAGAAAAUGAUUGUGUUUUCCAGAGAAACAUAUUUCAUGAAGACCCUUUAGAGGCCUUCAUUUUUGUGCCCCACAUGAUAAAUGUACACAGACAAAGAUUUAAGUCCCAUUUCAACAGGUGGGGGCUCGUCCGGGAUUUGAACCCGGGACCUCUCACACCCGAAGCAAGAAUCAUGCCCCUAGACCAACGAGCCACCAGAGGCUGGUUUGCAGGGGGACAAAAUGGACCAAUAUCCGUUUGGACAAAAGGCAUGAAGUUGAAGAUGAUUUUGACAAUGGAAAGUUUGCCAGCCAGCAUUGUUAUAAGUUGCAGACAAUUUGAUGGUUGAGUGGGACUGACAGAGAGGCACUUGGGAGACAUGCACUUGUGCAUCUGACUGUUGAAACCGUUUGUGCCAAUGACCUCCUACUCCUUCCACAUGUGACGGGCUCGUCCGGGAUUUGAACCCGGGACCUCUCGCACCCUAAGCGAGAAUCAUACCCCUAGACCAACGAGCCACAAUCUCUCGCAACAAAGACAACUCUAGCAGAGUUCCAUUUGAUCCAAAAUCCUCACGCAGACCCCUAGCUUUCACUUUCAAAGUCUUGGCUUACUGAAAUGCAAACUGAAAGGGUUCACACACAGCUGCAAAUGAGAAAAAGGAGGCUUGGAUCUGCACUAAAUCAUCAAAGUGGAUGCACACAGCUACAGGCUAAGAGCCCGUUGCUUAAGCCAAGAGCAACAUUUGACCCGUUUUGGUACCCAGACAUGUCUUCUAUCACAUCCAUGGCAUCGUCACACUUGGACCUUUGUGAGAGGAUCGUUCUUUAACGACCCAUUGGCUGGAAUCAUUUGGAUCGUUAGGAUAUAUGCCAAGACAAACAAUAGCACUCUGAUGCUACGACAAGUGUGAAGCGAUCGUCUGGGAGAAGUGGUUGCAGCUCUACUCAUAUUGAAAGCAGGUGCCUUUGCUUUGCAACAUGACGCCACUGUACCUUGUCCAGGCAUUUGACUACCUUAAUUCUGAGAGUUUUGUCCAUCUUUCAGCACCAGGUGGGUUGACCCUUUCUUCCAAUCCAAGGAAUGAUGUUUUACAAAGUUUGUCUUGUAACGUUGGAUCAGGUCAUGACACUGUGCAUUUUCAAAUCUCAGUCUAAAGUAUGUAGCCUCUUAACAUGGUGGAUGUCAGGGUAUUAAGUGAAUAGAGAGGGCUCGUCCGGGAUUUGAACCCGGGACCUCUCGCACCCAAAGCGAGAAUCAUACCCCUAGACCAACGAGCCACAAUCUGGACUGAGAAAAUGAUGGAGCAACUCUGGGGGUGGAAUGAAAACAGCUCCUCAGUCCUCUAAAUCAACGCAAAAGACUUUUGUGCGCUCAACUGCUCAUUAUGCACUUCCAACGCUACAACUGUAUGAAAUGUGUCCGUAAUUUGCGUAUCUGGUCUAAGAUCAUGCAUUCGUCCUGCUUUUUGCCUGAAAAGGUGCUCACAGCAUGCUGAUCAGGACAGAUAUUUGCCAGAAAAUGAUUGUGUUUUCCAGAGAAACAUAUUUCAUGGAGACCCUGUAGAGGCCUUCAUUUAUGUGCCCCACAUGAUAAAUGUACACAGACAAAGAUUUAAGUCCCAUUUCAACAGGUGGGGGCUCGUCCGGGAUUUGAACCCGGGACCUCUCACACCCGAAGCAAGAAUCAUGCCCCUAGACCAACGAGCCACCAGAGGCUGGUUUGCAGGGGGACAAAAUGGACCAAUAUCCGUUUGGACAAAAGGCAUGAAGUUGAAGAUGAUUUUGACAAUGGAAAGUUUGCCAGCCAGCAUUGUUAUAAGUUGCAGACAAUUUGAUGGUUGGGUGGGACUGACAGAGAGGCACUUGGGAGACAUGCACUUGUGCAUCUGACUGUCGAAACCGUUUGUGCCAAUGACCUCCUACUCCUUCCACAUGUGACGGGCUCGUCCAGGAUUUGAACCCGGAACCUCUCGCACCCUAAGCGAGAAUCAUACCCCUAGACCAACGAGCCACAAUCUCUCACAACAAAGACAACUCUAGCAGAGUUCCAUUUGAUCCAAAAGCCUCACGCAGACCCCUAGCUUUCACUUUCAAAGUCUUGGCUUACUGAAAUGCAAACUGAAAGGGUUCACACACAGCUGCAAAUGAGAAAAAGGAGGCUUGGAUCUGCACUAAAUCAUCAAAGUGGAUGCACACAGCUACAGGCUAAGAGCCCGUUGCUUAAGCCAAGAGCAACAUUUGACCCGUUUUGGUACCCAGACAUGUCCUCUAUCACAUCCAUGGCAUCGUCACACCUUUGGACCUUUGUGAGAGGAUCGUUCUUUAACGACCCCUUGGCUGGGAUCAUUUGGAUCGUUAGGAUAUAUGCCAAGACAAACAAUAGCACUCUGAUGCUACGACAAGUGUGAAGCGAUCGUCUGGGAGAAGUGGUUGCAGCUCUACUCAUAUUGAAAGCAGGUGCCUUUGCUUUGCAACAUGACGCCACUGUACCUUGUCCAGGCAUUUGACUACCUUAAUUCUGAGAGUUUUGUCCAUCUUUCAGCACCAGGUGGGUUGACCCUUUCUUCCAAUCCAAGGAAUGAUGUUUUACAAAGUUUGUCUUGUAACGUUGGAUCAGGUCAUGACACUGUGCAUUUUCAAAUCUCAGUCUAAAGUAUGUAGCCUCUUAACAUGGUGGAUGUCAGGGUAUUAAGUGAACAGAGUGGGCUAGUUCCGGGAUUUGAACCCGGGACCUCUCGCACCCAAAGCGAGAAUCAUACCCCUAGACCAACGAGCCAGAAUCUGGGCUGAGAAAAUGAUGGAGCAACUCUGGGGGUGGAAUGAAAACAGCUCCUCAGUCCUCUAAAUCAACGCAAAAGACUUUUGCGCGCUCAACUGCUCAUUAUGCACUUCCAACGCUACAACUGUAUGAAAUGUGUCCGUAAUUUGCGUAUCUGGUCUAAGAUCAUGCAUUCGUCCUGCUUUUUGCCUGAAAAGGUGCUCACAGCAUGCUGAUCAGGACAGAUAUUUGCCAGAGAAUGAUUGUGUUUUCCAGAGAAACAUAUUUCAUGGAGACCCUGUAGAGGCCUUCAUUUUUGUGCCCCAAAUGAUAAAUGUACACAGACAAAGAUUUAAGUCCCAUUUCAACAGGUGGGGGCUCGUCCGGGAUUUGAACCCGGGACCUCUCACACCCGAAGCAAGAAUCAUGCCCAUAGACCAACGAGCCACCAGAGGCUCAUUUGCAGGGGGACAAAAUGGACCAAUAUCCGUUUGGACAAAAGGCAUGAAGUUGAAGAUGAUUUUGACACUGGAAAGUUUGCCAGCCAGCAUUGUUAUAAGUUGCAGACAAUUUGAUGGUUGGGUGGGACUGACAGAGAGGCACUUGGGAGACACGCACUUGUGCAUCUGACUGUUGAAACCGUUUGUGCCAAUGACCUCCUACUCCUUCCACAUGUGACGGGCUCGUCCGGGAUUUGAACCCGGGACCUCUCGCACCCUAAGCGAGAAUCAUACCCCUAGACCAACGAGCCACAAUCUCUCGCAACAAAGACAACUCUAGCAGAGUUCCAUUUGAUCCAAAAUCCUCACGCAGACCCCUAGCUUUCACUUUCAAAGUCUUGGCUUACUGAAAUGCAAACUGAAAGGGUUCACACACAGCUGCAAAUGAGAAAAAGGAGGCUUGGAUCUGCACUAAAUCAUCAAAGUGGAUGCACACAGCUACAGGCUAAGAGCCCGUUGCUUAAGCCAAGAGCAACAUUUGACCCGUUUUGGUACCCAGACAUGUCCUCUAUCACAUCCAUGGCAUCGUCACACUUGGACCUUUGUGAGAGGAUCGUUCUUUAACGACCCAUCGGCUGGAAUCAUUUGGAUCGUUAGGAUAUAUGCCAAGACAAACAAUAGCACUCUGAUGCUACGACAAGUGUGAAGCGAUCGUCUGGGAGAAGUGGUUGCAGCUCUACUCAUAUUGAAAGCAGGUGCCUUUGCUUUGCAACAUGACGCCACUGUACCUUGUCCAGGCAUUUGACUACCUUAAUUCUGAGAGUUUUGUCCAUCUUUCAGCACCAGGUGGGUUGACCCUUUGUUCCAAUCCAAGGAAUGAUGUUUUACAAAGUUUGUCUUGUAACGUUGGAUCAGGUCAUGACACUGUGCAUUUUCAAAUCUCAGUCUAAAGUAUGUAGCCUCUUAACAUGGUGGAUGUCAGGGUAUUAAGUGAACAGAGUGGGCUCGUCCGGGAUUUGAACCCGGGACCUCUCGCACCCAAAGCGAGAAUCAUACCCCUAGACCAACGAGCCACAAUCUGGGCUGAGAAAAUGAUGGAGCAACUCUGGGGGUGGAAUGAAAACAGCUCUUCAGUCCUCUAAAUCAACACAAAAGACUUUUGCGCGCUCAACUGCUCAUUAUGCACUUCCAACGCUACAACUGUAUGAAAUGUGUCCGUAAUUUGCGUAUCUGGUCUAAGAUCAUGCAUUCGUCCUGCUUUUUGCCUGAAAAGGUGCUCACGGCAUGCUGAUCAGGACAGAUAUUUGCCAGAAAAUGAUUGUGUUUUCCAGAGAAACAUAUUUCAUGGAGACCCUGUAGAGGCCUUCAUUUCUGUGCCCCACAUGAUAAAUGUACACAGACAAAGAUUUAAGUCCCAUUUCAACAGGUGGGGGCUCGUCCGGGAUUUGAACCCGGGACCUCUCACACCCGAAGCAAGAAUUAUGCCCCUAGACCAACGAACCACCAGAGGCUGGUUUGCAGGGGGACAAAAUGGACCAAUAUCCGUUUGGACAAAAGGCAUGAAGUUGAAGAUGAUUUUGACACUGGAAAGUUUGCCAGCCAGUAUUGUUAUAAGUUGCAGACAAUUCGAUGGUUGGGUGGGAUUGACAGAGAGGCACUUGGGAGACAUGCACUUGUGCAUCUGACUGUUGAAACCGUUUGUGCCAAUGACCUCCUACUCCUUCCACAUGUGACGGGCUCGUCCGGGAUUUGAACCCGGGACCUCUCGCACCCUAAGCGAGAAUCAUACCCC